GAUGAAGAACGUAGCGAAAUGCGAUAAGUAAUGUGAAUUGCAGAAUUCAGUGAAUCAUCGAAUCUUUGAACGCACAUUGCGCCCGCCAGUAUUCUGGCGGGCAUGCCUGUUUGAGCGUCAUUUCAACCAUCAAGCCCCCGGCUUGUGUUGGGGACCUGCGGCUGCCGCAGGCCCUGAAAAGCAGUGGCGGGCUCGCUGUCACACCGAGCGUAGUAGCAUACAUCUCGCUCUGGGCGUGCUGCGGGUUCCGGCCGUUAAACCACCUUCAUAACCCAAGGUUGACCUCGGAUCAGGUAGGAAGACCCGCUGAACUUAAGCAUAUCAAUAAGCGGAGGA
rnacentral:misc_RNA from 1 species